rnacentral:misc_RNA from 1 species
GAGGGUCGCUUGAAAUGCAGGUGCAGCAGGACAUUCUUCUGAGCAAAAAGCAUAUCUAUUUAGUCCCGUCAAAAGGAUUAUUAUUUUGCUUCAGCUAACAUAAAGGUCGAAUGAACCAAUCGCUGAUUGCAGGAAAACUUGUUCUUUACCGAACUUGUAAACUCGAUCUCAAAUCAAGUAAGACUACCCGCUGAACUUAA